AUGAGACUAUCGCCGCUACCCCUUGUCACAUUGUUUGUCUGCAGGAGUCCAAAAUGGGAAACGUCAACCCCUACACUGCUGCUCACAUUGGAGGCCAAAGAGUUAAAAAACUUUGCCCAACGCCCGGCUGCCAGGACCCGUGGCGGUAUCCUCCUACUGUGGGAUGAUGAAGCGGUUCAACUCUCCAAUGUGCUAUCUGGGUCUUUUACCCUCUCGACCGUUGUUUCCUUGCGUUCACAAAACCAUAACACCACCUCCUUCAAGCUCACGGCCGUCUAUGGUCCGACUAGAGGCAACCUCAAGGAUGGUUUCUUCAGCGAGUUCGUCUCUGAAAAAACACUCCCGGGUUCCUGGCUGGUCACGGGAGACUUCAACCAAAUUUAUCGGGCAAGGGAUAAGAACCGCGCUAACGAUCGAAGCUGCAUUGUCCGGUUUAGAAAUGCGUUGAACACCUAUGAGCUAAAAGAGAUUCAUCUUCAAAACAGAAGAUUCACUUGGAGAAAUGGCCAGAGUGACCCCAUCUUGAGCAUGUUGGAUAGCUUCUUUUGCAAUGAGGAAUGGGAUAUGUAGUUUGGUUCUCACAUUCUGCAUGCACUCUCAUCUUCCCUAUCUGACCACUGUCCUCUUCUACUCACAAAUGGAAAUGGCCCUAAGCGAUCCAAGUGCUUCUACUUCGAGAACUUCUGGAUUAAGAUGCCCGGUUUUUUGGCAAUCAUCCAAGAGGCAUGGAAUGAAGAUCACAACCAUGUCGAGCCCUAGCAUGUUAUUCACCAUAGACUCAAGAAAACUAGCAUCAAGUUAAAGGCUUUGAGCAAAACUCUUUUCUCCAAUGUGAAAGUUCAGUUGCAUAUGGCUCGGGAGAUCAUCCUCCGCCUUGAUACCGCGCAAUAAUCUCGAUCCUUGAGCACGGAUGAACUUGACCUUCGGAAGAGGCUUAAGCGACGAGUAGUUGGCUUGGCUGUACUUGAGAAGGCUAGGAAGCGGCAGAACUCUAGGAUCACUAACAUCAAAGAGGCCGAUGCAAACACUAGAUUCUUCCACCUGAGAAUUAACUGCGGGAGAAGGAAUUAUCCACCAUCUUAA
rnacentral:rRNA from 1 species